AGCAGCCGCGGUAAUUCCAGCUCCAAUAGCGUAUAUUAAAGUUGUUGCAGUUAAAAAGCUCGUAGUUGAAUUUCGGGACCAGUAUGUUGGUCGUGCUUCGGUACGUACUGUCAUUACUGGUUUCUCCCUUCUGAAGAACCUUGAUGUCAUUAAUUUGGUGUCUUGGGGAAUCAGGACUGUUACUUUGAAAAAAUUAGAGUGUUUAAAGCAGGCAUACGCUUGAAUACAUUAGCAUGGAAUAAUGAAAUAGGACGUUUGAUUCUAUUUUGUUGGUUUCUAGGAUCGACGUAAUGAUUAAUAGGGAUAGUUGGGGGCAUUAGUAUUCAAUUGUCAGAGGUGAAAUUCUUGGAUUUAUUGAAGACUAACUACUGCGAAAGCAUUUGCCAAGGAUGUUUUCAUUAAUCAAGGACGAAAGUUAGGGAUCGAAGACGAUCAGAUACCGUCGUAGUCUUAACCAUAAACUAUGCCGACUAGGGAUCGGAUGAUGUUAUUUUUAANGUACUUCAUUCGGCGCCUUACG
rnacentral:rRNA from 1 species